rnacentral:rRNA from 1 species
UACGAGGGGGGCGAGCGUUGCUCGGAAUUAUUGGGCGUAAAGGGUGCGUAGGCGGUUUGGUAAGUCUUGUGUGAAAUCUACAGGCUCAACUUGUAGUCUGCACGAGAAACUGCCGGGCUUGAGUAUGGGAGAGGUGAAUGGAAUUCCUGGUGUAGCGGUGAAAUGCGUUGAUAUCAGGAGGAACACCCAUGGCGAAGGCAGUUCACUGGGCAUCAUCUGACGCUGAGGCGCGAAAGCGUGGGUAGCAAACAGG